rnacentral:ncRNA from 1 species
GAAUGAUUGGGCGUAAAGCGUCUGUAGGUGGCUUUUCAAGUCCGCUGUCAAAUCCCAGGGCUCAACCCUGGACAAGCGAUGGAAAAUACCAAGCUAGAGUACGGUAGGGGCAUAGGGAAUUUCCGGUGGACGGUGAAAUGCAUUGAGAUCGGAAAGAACACCAACAGCGAAAGCACUCUGGUGGGCCGACACUGACACUGAGAGACGAAAGCUAGGGGAGCAAAUGGGAUUAGAGACCCCAGUAGUCCUAGCCGUAAAUGAUGGAUACUAGGUGCUGUGCGACUCGACCCGUGCAGUGUUGUAGCUAACGCGUUAAGUAUCCCGCC